AGACUAUGAUGUGUAGCCGGGCUGAGAGGUUGAACGGCCACAUUGGGACUGAGACACGGCCCAAACUCCUACGGGAGGCAGCAGUAGGGAAUUUUCGGCAAUGGAGGAAACUCUGACCGAGCAACGCCGCGUGAACGAUGAAGUAUUUCGGUACGUAAAGUUCUUUUAUUAGGGAAGAAUAAAUGAUGGAAAAAUCAUUCUGACGGUACCUAAUGAAUAAGCCCCGGCUAACUAUGUGCCAGCAGCCGCGGUAAUACAUAGGGGGCAAGCGUUAUCCGGAAUUAUUGGGCGUAAAGGGUGCGUAGGCGGUUAAAUAAGUUUAUGGUCUAAGUGCAAUGCUCAACAUUGUGAUGCUAUAAAAACUGUUUAGCUAGAGUAAGAUAGAGGCAAGUGGAAUUCCAUGUGUAGUGGUAAAAUGCGUAAAUAUAUGGAGGAACACCAGUAGCGAAGGCGGCUUGCUGGGUCUUUACUGACGCUGAGGCACGAAAGCGUGGGGAGCAAACAGGAUUAGAUACCCUGGUAGUCCACGCCGUAAACGAUGAGUACUAAACGUUGGGUAAAACCAGUGUUGAAGUUAACACAUUAAGUACUCCGCCUGAGUAGUACGUACGCAAGUAUGAAACUUAAAGGAAUUGACGGGACUCCGCACAAGCGGUGGAUCAUGUUGUUUAAUUCGAAGGUACCCGAAAAACCUCACCAGGUCUUGACAUGCUUCUGCAAAGCUGUAGAAACACAGUGGAGGUUAUCAGUUGCACAGGUGGUGCAUGGUUGUCGUCAGCUCGUGUCGUGAGAUGUUGGGUUAAGUCCCGCAACGAGCGCAACCCUUAUUGUUAGUUACCAGCACGUAAUGGUGGGGACUUUAGCAAGACUGCCAGUGAUGAAUUGGAGGAAGGUGGGGACGACGUCAAAUCAUCAUGCCCCUUAUGACCUGGGCUACAAACGUGAUACAAUGGCUGUUACAAAGGGUAGCUGAAGCGCAAGUUUUUGGCGAAUCUCAAAAAAACAGUCUCAGUU
rnacentral:rRNA from 1 species